GGAUGAACGUUGGCGGCGUGCCUAAUACAUGCAAGUCGAACGAAGACUGUAGUAAUACUGUCUUAGUGGCGAACGGGUGAGUAACGCGUGGGUGACCUGCCCCGAAGUGUGGGAUAACAGUCCGAAAGGAUUGCUAAUACUGCAUAAUAUCCAAGAGAUUAGAUGCUUUUGGAUUAAAGGAGUAAUUCGCUUCGGGAGGGGCCCGCGUCCCAUCAGCUAGUUGGUAAGGUAAUGGCUUACCAAGGCGAUGACGGGUAGGGGACCUGAGAGGGUGGCCCCCCACAAUGGAACUGAAACACGGUCCAUACACCUACGGGUGGCAGCAGUAGGGAAUAUUAGUAAUGGGCGAAAGCCUGAACUAGCAACGCCGCGUGUGCGAAGAAGGCCUUCGGGUCGUAAAGCACUUUUUGAGAGGAUGAGGAAGGACGGUACUCUCAGAAUAAGUCUCGGCUAACUACGUGCCAGCAGCCGCGGUAACACGUAGGAGGCAAACGUUAUCCGGAUUUACUGGGCGUAAAGCGCGUGUAGGUGGUUUGGUAAGUAGGGCGUGAAAGCUCCUGGCUCAACUGGGAGAGGACGUUCUAAACUGCCAAGCUUGAGGAUGGUAGAGGGAGGUGGAAUUCCGGGUGUAGCGGUGGAAUGCGCAGAUAUCCGGAGGAACACCAGUGGCGAAGGCGGCCUCCUGGACCACUCCUGACACUCAGACGCGAAAGCUAGGGUAGCAAACGGGAUUAGAGACCCCGGUAGUCCUAGCCCUAAACGAUGUAGACNNGGCGUCGGUGGUUUAAUCGCCAUCGGUGUCGUAGCUAACGCGAUAAGUCUACCGCCUGGGGACUACGGCCGCAAGGUUAAAACUCAAAGGAAUUGACGGGGACCCGCACAAGCGGUGGAGCAUGUGGUUUAAUUCGAUGCAACGCGAAGAACCUUACCUGGUCUUGACAUCCCAGGAAUCCUGCAGAGAUGCGGGAGUGCCUUCGGGAACCUGGAGACAGGUGCUGCAUGGCUGUCGUCAGCUCGUGUCGUGAGAUGUUGGGUUAAGUCCCGCAACGAGCGCAACCCUUGCCCUUAGUUGCCAUCAUUUAGUUGGGAACUCUAAGGGGACCGCCGGUGACAAACCGGAGGAAGGUGGGGAUGACGUCAAGUCAUCAUGGCCCUUAUGACCAGGGCUACACACGUGCUACAAUGGUCGGUACAGAGGGUCGCCAACCCGCGAGGGGGAGCCAAUCCCUUAAAGCCGAUCGUAGUCCGGAUCGCAGUCUGCAACUCGACUGCGUGAAGUCGGAAUCGCUAGUAAUCGCGAAUCAGCCAUGUCGCGGUGAAUACGUUCCCGGGUCU
rnacentral:rRNA from 1 species